rnacentral:rRNA from 1 species
AGCAGCCGCGGUAAUUCCAGCUCCAAUAGCGUAUAUUAAAGUCGUUGCAGUUAAAAAGCUCGUAGUUGAAUUUCGGGGUCAGUAGGUUGGUCGUGCCACUGGUAUGCACUGGUCUCACUGAUUCCUCCUUCCUGAUGAGCCGUAAUGCCAUUAAUUUGGUGUUGCGGGGAAUCUGGACUGUUACUUUGAAAAAAUUAGAGUGUUUAAAGCAGGCUAACGCUUGAAUACAUUAGCAUGGAAUAAUGAAAUAGGACGAUCGAUCCUAUUUUGUUGAUUUCUAGGAUUGACGUAAUGAUUAAUAGGGAUAGUUGGGGGCAUUAGUAUUCAAUUGUCAGAGGUGAAAUUCUUGGAUUUAUUGAAGACUAACUACUGCGAAAGCAUUUGCCAAGGAUGUUUUCAUUAAUCAAGAACGAAAGUUAGGGGAUCGAAGACGAUCAGAUACCGUCGUAGUCUUAACCAUAAACUAUGCCGACUAGGGAUCGGAUGAUGUUAAUUUUUUAAUGACUC